GAGGAUUUAGCUUAAUAAAAGCAAUUGAUUUGCACUCAUUAGAUGUAAGAUGUAG
rnacentral:tRNA from 1 species